rnacentral:rRNA from 1 species
CUUGAAAUACCACCCUUUAAUGUUUGAUGUUCUAACGUGGACCCGUAAUCCGGGUUGCGGACAGUGUCUGGUGGGUAGUUUGACUGGGGCGGUCUCCUCCUAAAGAGUAACGGAGGAGCACGAAGGUUGGCUAAUCCUGGUCGGACAUCAGGAGGUUAGUGCAAUGGCAUAAGCCAGCUUGACUGCGAGCGUGACGGCGCGAGCAGGUGCGAAAGCAGGUCAUAGUGAUCCGGUGGUUCUGAAUGGAAGGGCCAUCGCUCAACGGAUAAAAGGUACUCCGGGGAUAACAGGCUGAUACCGCCCAAGAGUUCAUAUCGACGGCGGUGUUUGGCACCUCGAUGUCGGCUCAUCACAUCCUGGGGCUGAAGUAGGUCCCAAGGGUAUGGCUGUUCGCCAUUUAAAGUGGUACGCGAGCUGGGUUUAGAACGUCGUGAGACAGUUCGGUCCCUAUCUGCCGUGGGCGCUGGAGAAUUGAGGGGGGCUGCUCCUAGUACGAGAGGACCGGAGUGGACGCAUCACUGGUGUUCGGGUUGUCAUGCCAAUGGCACUGCCCGGUAGCUAAAUGCGGAAGAGAUAAGUGCUGAAAGCAUCUAAGCACGAAACUUGCCCCGAGAUGAGUUCUCCCUGACUCCUUGAGAGUCCUGAAGGAACGUUGAAGACGACGACGUUGAUAGGCCGGGUGUGUAAGCGCAGCGAUGCGUUGAGCUAACCGGUACUAAUGAACCGUGAGGCUUAACCUUACAACGCCGAAG